rnacentral:lncRNA from 1 species
AUGCUGAGAUUUGUUGAAGUUGAUACAGUACCUUUGUCCUACUGGAAGGUUAAAGUUGGAGAAGGAAAUACUUGCUCCCAAGAAGCAGAAACUGAACUCUCCCAAAAGUUUGUAAUGUUUCUGAUCUUAAUACUACAACAGAAAAGUUCAAAAGCUGAUUAGGUAAGAUCCAGAUGACUAGUACUACUAGAAGGUAAGCCUUAUUAGGUCCAUGCCUAAAAACAAAAAUUCUAUUAAAGACUACGUAUUUUUUAAGAAUUAAUCAGAUUUAGAAUUUGUUUACAUUUCAUAGUUCAUGAAACUAAAAUAACCACAUGCAAGAUACUCAGGUACUAAGAACAAACAAAAACAAUGGUACUAUAG